GUAAGACUGCCUAAUGAACAGGUUCUUGAUCUCUCUGGACCUAAUAUAAUGCUGGCUACAAAUUCAAAAAGAAUAUACUGAAUUAAGAAAGAAAUGAUCCUAGAGCUACCAACAGUCAAAAGAGGCUCAGAACAAUAUGGACACACCAAGUUUCCCUAAUUCCUGUCAAGAAAGGCAUAUGAU